ACAGAAGUGCUUUCUGGAUUCCACAUUGAAAUGUCUUCUAGGAAGCUGGAAGGGAACAUUAGAAAUCUUCCCUUUCCCUUCCCAGAACAUAGCUAUCUUCAAUGUAUAAGUUCAAGAACAACAAGCAAAUGACAAGGACUCCUAGAAAGGAUACAGCGGAUCGCUUGCGCAGGCACCUCAUUUUGUCCCAAAGCUUCAAUGUACAUCUCACAUGGAGAUACAGCACCUCCUAAGAAAGAAAAACAGUAAAAUUUGGUUGGGGCAUUUA